rnacentral:snRNA from 1 species
AUACUUACCUGGCAAGGGAGAUACCAUGAUCAUGAAGGUGGUUUCCCAGGGUGAGGCUUACCCAUUGCACUCCGGGGUGUGCUGACCCCUGUGAUUUCUCCAAAUGUGGGAAACUUGACUGUGUAAUUUGUGGUAGUGGGGGACUGCAUUCACACUAUCCCAUG